UCACCGCCCGCCCCCUCAACAGCGCAGACUGUUUGGGAAGCGGGAGUCUGCAGCUGGCAACAGGUCAGAGGUUAAGAUGAGAAGACAACAGCAGCUCAGUCUAAGUGAUUUCUUUCUCAUGGGGAAGAAAAGAAAGAAAGGAAAUAGAUCAGAUGAAGUUCAUCUGGAAACUAACACUGGUGAGGAUGAUGCAGGGAGAGCCAGCACCUCAGAGUUGCAGCAGAGCUGCUCCGUGCCCUCCUCGCUCUGAGCAGACGAGCUGAAUAGACCCUCUGAAUUGAUGCCUUAUGGUGCCACUUUGUGCAGAAGCGAUGCUGAAGAAUCCACACUUGGUUUCAAAUCCUCCUCCCAAGGCUCCUAUACUGCAUUGAUCCUGCUCUGUAUGUACCCUCGCAAGGUAUUAUGUAUGCCUGUUAUGUGCUUCACUGCCACAGCAGACUCUAGCAAAAAGCCGAUCUACACCGCGGAGAGAAAAUGUAUCAGAUGGCUGAACUUGAAACCCUUUCUGGGUUGAAAUACGCUCUGUUCAUUUCAAUAACAAGACAGCCACUGAUCUAUCAUUAACAUUAGCCGUCGUCAUUGCCGUAUUGAAGCUGGAUUACUAACCAGCUUGUUCUAUAACAAAGGAGCCAUGUCAGAAAUAAUGUAGACCAUCUGUUAAUCGCGCAAUAAAAUUACAGAUAAUUAAUUCUUUCAAAUCGGUUACAAAAACAUAUUCAUACACACAAACACUAACACAGACCUGUUGUGUUUUUGUCAUUAGCGAGGAAAUUUAUGGUGCAUCCGCCUUAUAUCCGGGGCUCCCAGAGGUCUGAUCAUGAUGAUUUUGGUGAUCCAACAUAAGUUCAACAUUUGUUGUGCUUUAGUAAAUCAUCUCUACAACUACUGGAUGGACUGCUGUGAAAUUUGGUUUCUGUGUCCAGAGGAUAUGCUUUGAUGACUCUCGUGAUCCCCUGACUUUUAAUUUAGAGCCAAAGUUUUAAGUUAUACAGUGAAAUAUGUUGACAAUAUUUGUUAAAGAACACCAUGAAGUUGUUUGUGGUUCUGAGCAAAAAACUUUUGGAAGAUCGGCAUGAAACUUGUUACAGACAUUCAUUUCCCCUUCAGGAUAAAUUGUAUUAACCAGUGUGAUCCUUUGACUUUUCGUGGAAUCGAAAUUGGCCUUCACUCCAGUGUUUUGGUUUUUGGCCAUACUCCUGCAAAACUAACAUUUGCAUCAGUCUGAACUGCCUUUUUUGUAAGUACUAAUAAAAAAAUUCUGCAUGCUUA